rnacentral:rRNA from 1 species
GGAAUAUUGGACAAUGGGCGCAAGCCUGAUCCAGCGACGCCGCGUGGGUGACGAAGGCCUUCGGGUCGUAAAGCCCUUUUCUGCGUGACGAGAGAGGACGGUAGCGCAGGAACAAGUCUCGGCUAACUACGUGCCAGUAGCCGCGGGAAAACGUAGGAGGCGAGCGUUAUCCGGAGUUACUGGGCGUAAAGAGCGUGUAGGCGGGUUUGGAAGUUUGGCGUGAAAGCUCCCGGCUAAACUGGGAGAGUGCGCUGAAGACUGCGAAUCUAGAGGCGAGUAGAGGGACGUGGAAUUCCGGGUGUAGUGGUGAAAUGCGUAGAGAUCCGGAGGAACACCAGUGGCGAAGGCGACGUCCUGGGCUUGACCUGACGCUGAGACGCGACAGCACGGGGAGCGAAC